rnacentral:rRNA from 1 species
AUUGGAUAACCGUGGGAAAUCUAGAGCUAAUACAUGCAGUAAAUUGUGAGGUGUCAAAACCUUUCAAAGCAUUUAUUGGAUCAAAACCAACUGUGCCAUUGGGUAAGAGUGGCAACACUCCUCCAUUGGUGCAAGGUGAAUCUAGAUAACUUUGCUGAUCGUAUGGCCCAGAGCUGACGACAUUUCAAAUGAAUUUCUGCCCUAUCAACUUGUUGGUAAGGUAGUGGCUUACCAAGGUGACAACGGGUAACGGGGAAUCAGGGUUCGAUUCCGGAGAGGGAGCCUGAGAAACGGCUACCACAUCCAAGGGAGGCAGCAGGCGCGCAAAUUACCCAAUCCAGAAUAUGGGAGGUGGUGACGAGAAAUACUAGAUGAUUUCCCUAAAAGGAUAUCAUACUGGAAUGGACGUAAUUUAAGCAUUUCGUUGAGUAACAACUGGAGGGCAAGUCUGGUGCCAGCAGCCGCGGUAAUUCCAGCUCCAGUAGUGUAUCUUAAAGUUGCUGCGUUUAAAACGCUCGUAGUUGGAUUACGCAGUGCAAAUUGGUCGAUUGGGGUGAUGCUGCAUUAAAUUCAUUGUUUUCACAUGGGGGUCAUGGUUUAUCCUGACAUUCUCUGUGUGUUUCAAUGAAGUAGUACACGUCGAUUAACAGCCAAUUUGUGCUACUUUUUCGUGAGGAUGAUAUUUGACCUUUAUUGUGUUGAAUGUUGUGUCUUACGAAGUGUGCCUUGAAUAAAUCAAAGUGCUCAAAGCAGGCUUUAGCUUGAAUGUUGAUAGCAUGGAACGAACAAUUGUGUUUUUGUGAGAUGGAGACGUGUACGUUGUGUUGAAUUAUAUUCCAUGCAAUGGAGGUCUCUAAUUCACUGCACCAACCACCAUUAUCGGAUGUUGGUUUCCGUGAUGGGGUGAUGAUUAAAAGGAGCAAUUGGGGGCAUUGGUAUUUUGCUGCGAGAGGUGAAAUUCUUAGACCAGCAAGGACUAACAAUGCGAAGGCAUCUGUCAAGAUUGUUUCCAUUAAUCAAGAACGAUAGUGAGAGGUUCGAAGUCGAUCAGAUACCGACCUAGUUCUCACUGUAAACUAUGCCGACCCGGGAUCAGUUUCGAGCAGAUUGUGCUCGUGGUUGGUCCCCCUGGGAAACCUUAAGUUUUUAGGUUACGGGGGGAGUAUGGUUGCAAGGCUGAAACUUAAAGGAAUUGACGGAAGGGCACCACCAGGGGUGGAGCCUGCGGCUUAAUUUGACUCAACACGGGAAAACUCACCUGGUCCGGACAUCGAAAGGAUAGACAGACUGAUAGAUCUUUCUUGAUACGGUGGUUGGUGGUGCAUGGCCGUUCUUAGUUCGUGGAGUGAUCUGUCAGGUCGAUUCCGGUAACGGACGAGAUCCUAAUUUCCACUUAGGCGUGGGGGAAUGUUGUUAGAACUUUGCGUUUUCUCAACAGUUGGAAGUGUGUGUGACCUAAGUUACGUUUAACUGCAUGUUGUAGCAGAAGUUUCGAUYGAUGUUGCAGCUGUAGUUGAAUGUAGUGAUGGGUCUCCCACUCCCCCUACCAAGUAUUGUAUUUAAUCUUUUAGAUGUGAUGCAAUGCGCUAUGGAAAGACAACCAAGUAUAAAUGUAAGAAGUGA